ensembl:lncRNA
GUUCCUGUUUAGAGCCAGUCCUGGUAGACUAACCACAGGGGACGGAUGAGGGAAAUUAAGCAGACUACCACUUGGGAAUAGCCGAAGCCAGGAGAUGGCUAAGUCAAUAAAGCACUUGAUGCAGAAGUCUGAGUACCCGAGUUCAGCCCCUAGAACUCACAUGAAAAUGUCAGAGUGCUGCUGACUGACUUUCCCUUCUCUGUCAUCUUGGCUGUGCCUCAUGGGACCCACAUAUCUGAUGGGUCGGUCACCAAAGAGAGCCCCCAGCUCAGGACUGCAGCCUGGAGCGCUGACCUAAAGGUCACUGUCUGGGUUGCUGAGCUCCUGGAUGAACUUGCUGCCUGCCUCUUCUGCAUCACUUUCCCUAAUUUCCGGAGCCAGGGAGGGAGAGAUGACAUCACCCAGGCUCCUCCAAACCUGGGCUCUCUUGGGUGUGGAACUGUCUCUGCACUGUCUCAGAUAUCUGUGCGGCUUAAACCCAAGCAGAC